ACCGCCUCUGUUACCAUCACCGAAGUUAAGCAAUGUCGAGCCUGAUCAGUAUCUAGCUGGGAGACCGCAUGGGAAUACCAAGUGUUGCAA